rnacentral:rRNA from 8 species
UGACGGAUGUCUUGGAUCCACUAACGGCGAAGAUCGCGUCCUAUUCCGAUAAGAU